AGUUCUACCUCAGUCCAGAGAGAUUCUGUCUUCAUGGAACUGAGACAGGAGAUUCCUGCUUCUUUCUCAGUUAACUAAGGAUUCAUAAGAUAUGUCCUCAGCUGAAGUUGGUGUGCACAAGUGACUUGCAGUGAGGGUAGUUAUGUCAGCUUGGUCCUCCGCCUGUUCCGCUGGCAAGCACUGCAGAUCCAGCUGCUGCUCCUUCCUGUUGGAUUGGUGGUUUAAGCUGCACUUUCCUUUUUGUGUAAGACCUCUUCUGAACAUAGACGAGAUGACCAUGUCUGCACAAAAGAGCUUACUGGCAUGUUCAUAAUGGAUAGUGCUCCAUUCUUCCUUGGCUAGAAACACACAGUCCCUUUUGGUGAAGAAAUUGUGACUUUGGACCUCAAGUCAAAACCUGCUUUGUUACAAACCGUGGGAAGUACGGUCUGUGAGUGUUGAUCCCAGUUAACCUGGUGUUUGCUGCCCACCUCUCUGUGUUGUGAUCCAUAUGGAGCAGCACUGGGUGACCAUGCACUCUCUGGACUUUCAGAUGUUGAGAAAUGUCCUGAAGGCAGAUUGUUUGACAGAAUGUUUGAAAAAAAUUUCCCUGAUUUUGAUCAGAGCCAUUGUGAUCUUGACGGUCCUAAAACCCUGAAAAAGGAGGCGAGGCUUGGCAGAGCGUCUAAGACUACAUAUGGUUUACAAAAUGCCUCAAAAAUGCUUGGAAUGGGCCUGUAUCAGACUUUAGCCCUUGCUGACUGUGCUUCCAGAGUUUCUACCAUUUUUUUGAGGCCUCUUUUUAUUUUAUUCUCAAAAACUCUGCUAACAAAGCCACCUUUGUUGAGCUAUUAUGUAUUGACAUCCAAAGAACAUUUUGAAUUGUACAUGAAGGAAGGCUAAUUCUGCACAUGGUUCCUGGAAUAUUUUGGCGAUGGUGUGAUUUUGAUGCAAAGUUUGGAAACUGUGCUACAAGGUGCCUUUUUAAAAAGAAACAAAAACCCCAGGCAUACUGUCAGAAAUUCAUCAGCAGUUCCUCCCGAGUAAUGUACUUUUCCAGAGACAAGUGAAAAAAUGUCAAAACCAAAUAAAGAAUAGCUGUGUUAUA